UACGUAGGUGGCAAGCGUUGUCCGGAUUUACUGGGCGUAAAGAGCGCGCAGGCGGUCGUCCAAGUCGCGUGUGAAAGCCCCCGGCUCAACUGGGGAGGGUCACGCGAUACUGGUCGACUCGAAGGCAGGAGAGGGUAGUGGAAUUCCCGGUGUAGUGGUGAAAUGCGUAGAUAUCUGGAGGAACACCGGUGGCGAAGGCGGCAUCCUGGACCGGUAUUGACGCUGAUGCGCGAAAGCCAGGGGAGCAAACGGG
rnacentral:rRNA from 1 species